rnacentral:rRNA from 1 species
GAGCGAAUCAAUUGAGGAGCUUGCUCCCUUUUGGUAAGCGGCGGACGGGUGAGUACACGUGGGUAACCUGCCUGUAAGACUGGGAUAACUCCGGGACAACGGGGCUAAUACCGGAUAAGUUGUUCCUCCGCAUGGAGGAAUAUUGAAAAAUGGCUUCGGCUAUCACUUACAGAUGGACCCGCGGCGCAUAAGCUAGUUGGUGAGGUAACGGCUCACCAAUGCGACGAUGCGUAUCCGACCUGAGAGGGUGAUCGGCCACUCUGGGACUGAUACACGGCCCAUACUCCUACGGGAGGCAGCAGUAGGGAAUCUUCCGCAAUGGACGAAAGUCUGACGGAGCAUCUCCGCGUGAGUGAUGAAGGUUUUCGGAUCGUAAAACUCUGUUGUUAGGGAAGAACAAGUACCGUUCGAAUAGGGCGGUACCUUGACGGUACCUAACCAGAAAGCCACGGCUAACUACGUGCCAUCAGCCGCGGUAAU